CAAUAGCGUAUAUUAAAGUUGCUGCAGUUAAAAAGCUCGCAGUUGCAUUUCCGAGGCAAGGGAUUAGUCCGACCUUUGGUGGGUAUUUAAUCCUCUUGCCUCGUCCUUGAGUGGUGCUUCUUGGUAUUAAGUUAUCGAGGAGAUAGCCGCUCAUCGUUUACUGUGAGAAAAUUAGAGUGUUCAAAGCAGGCUUAUGCCGUUGAAUAUAUUAGCAUGGAAUAAUAAGAUAGGACCUCGGUACUAUUUUGUUGGUUUGAGAACCAAGGUAAUGAUGAAUAGGGACAGUUGGGGGUAUUCGUAUUCAGUUGUCAGAGGUGAAAUUCUUAGAUUUACGGAAGACGAACUACUGCGAAAGCAUUUACCAAGGAUGUUUUCAUUAA
rnacentral:rRNA from 1 species